rnacentral:lncRNA from 1 species
CCUUAACACCCAUUUGCUCCCUGAUCCACUCUGCUCUUUUCUUGUCCCUUAAGGCUACACCUAUCAUUUUUCUUUCCAUGGCUCGCUGCGUCAUCCUCAAUUUAAGUUGCAAGCAUCAGCACAGCAUGAGAGGAGGCGAGACUGUGCUAAGCGCUGUGAACACGGCGCCGCACUGUAGUGAGUGUCUGUCUACAGCAGGGCAUUUUCUUGCUUAUCUAAAGGAGGCCUCAAUAGUACCUUUUAUUGCAUCAACCAUUUCUUUGUGGACUCCAGAAAAGCCUCGCUGACCAACUUUCAAAAGAUUUUGCAUACGGAGCACUGUGUGGAUCAUUGGUCAGCAGCUGCCCAGUGGUAGUAAAGGUUAUCCUGAGUACUAGUGGUGAUAAGCUAGAAAGGGAAGCAAAAGACUGGAUUCUUUUUUUUUUUAUUAGGUACCACUUCUGAAAAUACUGUAUGGCUGUAGUGAUGGACUUUCUCUACCAUUCCACUAGGCUUGUGCGAAUAUCACUUUCUUAGAUCGAAGCAAAUGGUAAUUAGUAUCUAAUUAUUUCAAGACGAAUAUGAAUAGUAGCAGGAUUUUAGUAGUGGUAGGGUCCAAGUUAUAAGUGGUAAGAUGCGCUACGUUUUAAAAUUUGCCAUACUUAUCCCAUAUAGGCCCGCAUAGCAUGCCUUUAAACUUAAAAAAAAAGUUAAUCGAGGUGCAGUUAAUAUGCACACUUAACCAUGAAGUGUGGCUAUGCAGAAGUGUGGAUUUCCCAUAAAUAGGCUGUUUCACGGCUUAGCUACCCAAGGUUGCAGUGAAACCAUCUCUUUAGGCUGGUAACAUGAGGCAAAAUACGUCUAUCCAUUCGUUUUCAAAUAGUACUUCGAAAUUUCGGAAAUCCUAAUAUUGUGUCGAAACGCUCGAAUAUUCGCACAGGCAUACAUGCCACACAUUCAUGGUGUACUGUGUCAACAGAAAAACGUUGGUGACCGGUGAAUGUUGCUAGCCACCUGUUCCUGCAGAGCAGUGCUGAACAUCGCAGUUCCGUGGCUCUGCUUGCUGGGGUAAUUUGUGCAAAUGUUUUUGUUUUUACAGCAGAGCUGUUAUGGUCGAGGUUUGCCGUGUGUCGUAGAUAGAAAAUUGUCAUCGUCAUGAAUCGGCAAGCGCUCAGUGACUGCCCAAGCAUUUUGUACAGAUAGUUAGUUAACAAGAGAAGCUGAACCGUGCCCACCAGCUGUGCUGUGACCCAGCCUACAGUCACUACACUUAACAUAAUCAUCUUCUCACAUUUUGUUAAUGCUGGCAAAAGUGGACUGCAUUGUAUUUAUGGCUUUAACCUGUCGUAAUCACUGCAAGUGCAUAGCAUAUGGCCGAAAGCACUUGGCUAACCAAACGCAGCCACGCUGCACCUUCUCUGUGCUUGUGAAGGUGUUUUAUCUUAUCGUUGAAGAACAAUUUGUCACUGGUGACUACCAUCACUUACACACUUAUGGUACUCCGUCGUCGUAAGGGUACAAUGGACUAAAGGGCAGGAAAAUGUGCACGACGGGUACGUUGUGACAUGUGGUGGGCAAGUACAUUACACAGAAGCGCUCGUCUUACUAGAUGUGAUGAGCACUGUAUGAUAAUUUACACAAGUGCAACUAGUGAUAACAUCACUACAGAAUCCCAUUGUGACAAAGGGUGAGAGCAAUAUGUACACAAUCUAAGCUGUACUUAAUUAUAUUUCAUUCCCCAGUGUAUUUUUUUAUUUCUUGUUGAGUCACCAAGGGUAUUUGUUUUUUUUUCCCUAUGAGAUUUUUUACCAUACAUUACUAUUCAAUGAAGAGGCAAAACACUUGCACACUUUUCUUUUAAGUUGUUUACACCACCAUUUAUCAUGCACAGCAAUUUUCACAAGCUCAUACUAUAUGUAGAGGGAGAUUUGUGGAAGGGAGUGACAUUUUUUUUUUUUUUUUUUCAAGCUUGAAAUGGCAUUCACCUAGUCACAGGCAAACCACAAUGAGGCUGUGUUGGCCAGAAAUAUUAACUUUUUAUGCUUAGAUGCCGGUGAUUUAACCAAGAAAGUUGUUUGUGCAAAGAUCUUAGUGAAGCUCACUCUAUCUGAAGCUGUGCACAUUUAAAAGGAAAAAAAGGUUUUUUUUACAGUAAUAAAAACUCUGAAGUUGUUUGUGUAGUAGUUAUGGAGGGGCUUUCCUAAGCACGCAAUGAGUUAAAAAGGAUCAAGUUGCCAACAAAGGAGAGUUGAAAUCUAGCCUGUUGGAACAUUUUCUUUUUUUUUUUUUUGGCUGCUGCUAAUGUCUUUCACUAACAUUUUGUGGGAAAACCUCAACUGUUGAAGCAGUGUUGUUCGUUGUUGCAAAGCUUCUUGUCCAUUUCUAGCAGAAAUUGAUUGAAUGACUGAUAGUGGAUGUAGUUUGGUUGCUUGUUAAAGCAUUUGUACAAAGACCGGUGUACCUUCAGGGUUGCGUCACGGAAACAGAACAUGGUUGUGCGACAUUGUUGACAACGCAUUUCCUUGCAUAUAACCCGCACCUGUAUACACAGUAGCCUUGGCCCCCCUUAACUACAAUCUGCGGACAACCUUAAAAAAAAAUUCCUGAGCAUUACCGCAAUGCCAACUAGUGAAUAACUCGCAGCCCAACUUCAGCUUCGAAUGUUUUGUAUUUUCUGUGCGGGUUAUACGUGAGAAAAUGCGAUAUUUCAUGUUGUCUACUUCACUAAGAAUGUAAGGGACGUUUUUAUUCCUUGUUGUCGUUAUGCAUGUUAACAGACUGAGACCAAGCCGAUCAUUGCUGUCCAAAGGCUCCUGUACUGCUGUUUACUUUUAGUGUAUGUUCAUAACAUGCUUCGAGCAGAUUUAAGCAUGCUAGUUUUGAAUGGCAUGGUCUUUCAGUUGUUCGGUGGUCAUGAGCAGUGCUACAUCGCAAUGUCCUCGCCAUUCUUGCCAAAAAAGACUACUGUUGCAGUUGCAAUGUUUGCAGUGCUGCCCUGCACGUCUAAGCAUUACUGUGACCAAAGAUAGUGCUUUUUUGUGGACCACUUUACUUACAGACAUGUUCUUUGGUGUUUUGUGUCCAAUAUCGUACGGGUCUCGACCUCUAUGAUUUUUUUUCUGUCCAGCAGUGCCUGCAAUCUAAAGGAUAGGUGUGAUAUCGAAGGAUGCUGAUUUUGUUUCUUGCCCAUGAGCGAGUAGUGUAUAUACACAAUAUGAUAUUUAUGACAGCCAAUUUUUUGUCUCUGAUUUUGCAGAUGUUUUUUUCUAUGUGAGAGCUCUCAGGGAUAUGUUGAGGUACGUCGCCCAGUAGUGGCUUUCUUAUACACCUGCACUUCAACAUUACAAUGUUGUUUUACCAAAGCCGCUUUGGUCAAAGGUACAAUGCACACAUCCUGAAUCUCAGUUCUUCUGAGUGAAUUCACUCGACGCAAGCAGUGCGCUGCGCAUUUGACAUGAUACGUGCAGGUUCUGGUAACAUCACAGCGCAUCGCUGUUCCAGAAACUGUAUGCAGCAUUUUUUAACAGCGGAGCUGUUUAAGCUUGAGGUCCGCUACGAGGUGUUGACAAAAACUAUCGUCACGAACGGCUAAUUAAGCUCGAGGUCCGCUACGAGGUGUUGACAAAAACUAUCGUCACGAACGGCUAAUUAAGCUCGAGGCCCGCUACGAGGUGUUGACAAAAACUAUCGUCACGAACGGCUAAUUAAGCUCGAGGUCCGCUACAAGGUGUUGACAAAAGCUAUCGUCACGAACGGCCUCUACCUUACAUGGCAUCACGCGUCUCCUAGCAACUGGCACAGCUGCGCCUCGCGCAUGCAGUGCAGUGACUUAGCCGGCGCAUGCUCUUUUUGUCUUCUGCUUUGCUCCUUGAGCAUGUGCGCCCGGCCCGCACUCUCUCGCUGCACCGAUUUGUCUGGCAUGGGAUGCCAUGAUUCAGAUGGCCAAGAGAACGAGUACAGAGAAAGAGAAAGAAAGGGAAGAAAGAGAAAAAGAGAUAGAAAGAGUGAGAAGAUAAAAAGAGCAAGAAAGAGAGAGUAAUAAAGAAAUAGAUAGAGACAGACAAAAAGCGAAAGAAAAAGAAAGGGAAACAACGAUGGCCACCCAGCUCCGCUGUUCCAUCAGGCUUGACACCACUAGCGCGAAGCUGCCUUAAUUUUUAAGAAGCAUGAGGCCCCACCUAACAUUCAUGAAUACGGCUGGCCUCGGAAGGUCCACCUGCCCUUUUGUUGUGUCAACUGUGAUCAACAACUAUGGAGAGGAAGGUUAACUGUCGUCCUCACUUUUCGACACAGAGUUUUGAAUGCAUCCAAUACAGCCAGUGCCGAUGAAUGUCUUGAAAGUGCUGUCUAUUUCGAAGCACGCUAAGCUAAUGUUUCGGGCCAAUGUUUACUUACAACAUUGCAGGGUGAAUUCACUUGUGUUGUGCACAGUAGCAUGUGCAUUGCCACAUUUCUGUAAGGUGCCAUUUUUUUUGCUUUGCAUUCAAUAAACAGUUGUUGACAAUGUUA